GCCAGCGUGGUGUAGUGGUUCAUCGUUGGACUAAGACUCUGAAGAGCAGAGUUCAAUUCCCAGCUCUGCCA